rnacentral:rRNA from 1 species
UGGCGACCGGCGUACGGGGUGAGUAACGCGUAUCCAACCUGCCCUUUACUAUGGGACAGCCCGUCGAAAGGCGGAUUAAUACCGUAUGUUGUCAUGUUGAUGCAUAUUUUCAUGACCAAAGGCUUCGGCCGGUAAAGGAUGGGGAUGCGUCUGAUUAGCUUGCCGGCGGGGUAACGGCCCACCGGGGCGACGAUCAGUAGGGGUUCUGAGAGGAAGGUCCCCCACAUUGGAACUGAGACACGGUCCAAACUCCUACGGGAGGCAGCAG